rnacentral:tRNA from 1 species
GCCCUUGUGGCACAGUGUUUAAGUGCUCAGCUGCUAACUGAACGGUUGGUGCUUCAAACCCACUCAGUGGCG